GUUUUCUACUGGGUCUCCGGUGCAAGCUUCACUCAACCAAAACAGGCUGUCUUUCACGGUCCCACAGCAUACCACCUUGCUGGGAUCAAAAAGGGCUCUUCACUUUUGUUUAGGAUUAAGUUAAUUCACCUUGAGACAUUAUUCUUUACAGUGUGGCUCUUGAAAUAUGCUACAUUCACACUGAGUAAGAUCUGUUUUGAGCCAGUCUUUGAAGUCUGACCCAUCUGCAUGCUUACCCAGUAUAUGUGCAUACCAGGAGCUUCUGGUAGGCUCUUGGGAAAAGCAACUGUUUUCUCACUGUGUGAGUACCUGCUCUUGGUCUUCUCAUACUUCUGAAAUCGUUUCCAGCCUCAUGUAGUUUUCUCAUAUGGACAGAGUGUAAUUGUCUACCUGUGUGGGAUACUUUAGUGCUCUCUGGAGCUGUCCUGUUUGCCUCUGUCCUAUGAAUGGGGAGCACACUGGUCUUCUUGAGACUCAGUUCUAGUUGCAGGGCUCCAGUUCUCUGCAGCUUCCACAUGAGCUUCUUGACUAUUUUCUCCAUUCUAGUGUCAACUCCUCUCCAAUCAACAUACGGCUGCAGGACUUCAAGGCUAAGGCAGCAAGAAAAGAAAUCCUUCCAUAUUCAAGACCGUCGUGCUGCAGCAUUGUAUGGGCCACAUUUCUGUUGCUGAGACAGAAUGCCUUGACAGAAAGGAACUUAGGAAGAUUUGCGCUCCAAGUUCUCUGAUAGAGGUACAAUCUGCCACCAGUUUUCUUCCAGACUACAGCACUCUAUGAAGCAAGAGGAAACAUACUUUUAAUAAAAUCCUGUUAAU